rnacentral:rRNA from 1 species
UACGAAGGGGGCUAGCGUUGCUCGGAAUUACUGGGCGUAAAGGGCGUGUAGGCGGUUUGUUAAGUCAUGUGUGAAAUCCCUCGGCUCAACCGGGGAAGGACGCAUGAAACUGGCAAGCUAGAGUACCAAAGAGGGGGGUGGAAUUCCCGGUGUAGCGGUAAAAUGCGUAGAUAUCGGGAGGAACACCUGUGGCGAAGGCGGCCCCCUGGUUGGAUACUGACGCUGAUACGCGAAAGCGUGGGGAGCAAACAGG